UUGGGGGCAGCCAUUGCAACGGAGGG
rnacentral:misc_RNA from 1 species